rnacentral:rRNA from 1 species
GACGAACGCUGGCGGCGUGCUUAACACAUGCAAGUCGAACGGAAAGGCCCUGCUUGCAGGGUACUCGAGUGGCGAACGGGUGAGUAACACGUGGGUGAUCAGCCCUGCACUUCGGGAUAAGCCUGGGAAACUGGGUCUAAUACCGGAUAGGAGCCAUUUUUAGUGUGAUGGUUGGAAGGUUUUUUCGGUGUAGGAUGAGCUCGCGGCCUAUCAGCUUGUUGGUGGGGUAAUGGCCUACCAAGGCGGCGACGGGUAGCCGGCCUGAGAGGGUGGACGGCCACAUUGGGACUGAGAUACGGCCCAGACUCCUACGGGAGGCAGCAGUGGGGAAUAUUGCACAAUGGGCGCAAGCCUGAUGCAGCGACGCCGCGUGGGGGAUGACGGCCUUCGGGUUGUAAACUCCUUUCGCUAGGGACGAAGCUUUUUGUGACGGUACCUAGAUAAGAAGCACCGGCUAACUACGUG